UCUGUCUGUCUGGGUUUCACCCAUCACAUCUUCAUCACAUUCGGACAUAUAAUCACUGUUUUCCAUCUCUCCUGCCGCUGUCAUCGCCUGUUUUUCGAUCCAGGAUAAUUAUCUACCUUUUUACCGUCGCGUGGUCCACUAUAUGUGUUUCAGCAGCAGAAAUGGACAACAGCUCGACGACUUGUCCAUUUGACACACAGGGCUACAGUUCAACAUUUAAGCGGAAACGAACAGUGGAAGAUUUCAACAAGUUCUGUACUUUUGUGCUCGCAUAUGCCGGUUAUAUUCCUUAUCCACAGGAGGUGAGUAUGAUCUUGUCUUUGUUAUGUAACUGAGUGGUGAUUGUGGAAAAAAUGCUACUCACUGUGCUUGUACAUUUGAUAGAAAGUGUUGCAGGGUGAAGUGGCCUUGCUUUCCUCAGGAUCGCUCAACGAUCUGACACUUCGACCUCCAGAUGUUCCUUUCCGUGGCAGUGGUGUAGCACUGGGUGUUCAUGGGAAUUUUUUUCCUUUUUUUUUUUUUUUGGUGCCACACCUCUUAUGAGCUGCUUUGCUGCUGAUGCUCUUGUUUGAUCUACAGAAAUGGUGGUGGCUCUUAUGUCAUGGCCGCUGAGAGACAUCCCCCCUCCAAAAAAACCUCAGCCCUCCCUCCCUGGGUAAGAGGGCCAC